rnacentral:misc_RNA from 1 species
AUGAAGAACGUAGCGAAACGCGAUAAGUAAUGUGAAUUGCAGAAUCCAGUGAAUCAUCGAAUCUUUGAACGCACAUUGCGCCCGCCAGCAUUCUGGCGGGCAUGCCUGUUCGAGCGUCAUUUCAACCCUCGACCUCCCCUUGGGGAGGUCGGCGUUGGGGACCGGCAGCACACCGCCGGCCCUGAAAUGGAGUGGCGGCCCGUCCGCGGCGACCUCUGCGCAGUAAUACAGCUCGCACCGGGACCCCGACGCGGCCACGCCGUAAAACACCCAACUUCUGAACGUUGACCUCGAAUCAGGUAGGACUACCCGCUGAACUUAAGCAUAUCAAUAAGCGGAGGA